UACGUAGGGCGCAAGCGUUUGUCCGGAAUUAUUGGGCGUAAAGAGCUCGUAGGCGGUUUGUCGCGUCUGCCGGUGAAAACCCGAGGCUCAACCUCGGGCCUGCAGUCGAUACGGGGCAAACUAGAGUACUGCAGGGGAGACUGGAAUUCCUGGUGUAGCGGUGAAAUGCGCAGAUAUCAGGAGGAACACCGGUGGCGAAGGCGGGUCUCUGGGCAGUAACUGACGCUGGAGGCGCGAAAGCCAGGGGAGCGAAACGGG
rnacentral:rRNA from 1 species